rnacentral:rRNA from 1 species
GGUGAACGCUGGCGGCGUGCUUAACACAUGCAAGUCGAACGGAAAGGCUCCUGCUUGCAGGGGUACUCGAGUGGCGAACGGGUGAGUAACACGUGGGUGAUCUGCCCUGCACUUCGGGAUAAGCCUGGGAAACUGGGUCUAAUACCGGAUAGGACGAUGGUUUGGGUGCCAUUGUGGAAAGUUUUUCGGUGUGGGAUGAGCUCGCGGCCUAUCAGCUUGUUGGUGGGGUAAUGGCCUACCAAGGCGUCGCCGGGUAGCCGGCCUGAGCGGGUGGACGGCCCCAUUGGGACUGAGAGACGGCGCAGACUGCUACGGGAGGCAGCAGUGGGGAAUAUUGCACAAUGGGGGCACGCCUGAUGCGGCGACGCCGCGUGGGGGAUGACGGCCUUCGGGGUGUAAACUCCUUUCGCUAGAGACGAAGCGCAAGUGACGGUACCUGGAGAAGAAGCACCGGCUAACUACGUG